AAGAGGUAGCACACGUCCGUGUGUAUGUGUUCUUUCACUCGUUGCCGACUACCUGGUCCAAACGCACGCAACGGAUACAGAAAGCGUGAUUUUACACAGCCAGGCUUAGGUGGGCUGCUCCGUAUCACCGACAAGGGGCUACUUUGGUACAAGACAGGUCUGUCGGCAAAGUCACAGUACGGACAUCUACAAAACAACACUGCAACAGAUCCGUAUUACUUUUCUAAAAAGCCCGACAUGGGAACGAGCCUACUCUGGGAACGAGUGUAGGACCGUCUCCGUCGACCAGCAGUACCCAACGCUAAUUCCCACACAUCUGCUCCGGGCAGUUUGUGUACGUGCAGCGGCUAGUGUUCUGUGGUUUGAGCUGGAAUCGCCUCUGGAGGGUUCUAACCCUGAAGGUCAGUGAAAAACAGAUUUGCUUCGGUUGAAGCUAUCUCAUCUGCGAGUGUGUCUUCCACACGUGUUUACGGUGUGGACUCCCCCCACUGCUCGCAAGGAUUAGUCUCGCUGGCCGACAACAUUACAGUCACUUCUGCACACCCUCAAGGCCACGGCCGACACCAUUUCACGCCAAACUAAUUGGAGCUAGGAAAGAGACGCACCGCUGUGAACUGGCAAAAGCCAAUCGGUUGGGAGUGUUCCCCGUCUCCGCUGGACACGCGAUCUAAGUUCGGUCUGCAGGGUGCAAGUUUAGGAAAAUCUGGUCGGUAACAUUGGGCUUCAAGAUUCCAACCGGGGAGAGGUUCUAUGGUGUUGUGUCCUUGUGGACAGAAGCGAAGCCCUCGGCGCUACUUAUAGUCAGCACCGCACAUCCCACCUCGUCGUAUACCCUUGCUUCACCAGCAAGAUGUCGACUUGGUUUUGAGCUUGGAGGUUCUAAGAGCAAGGUGACAAAGUCGUGAACCAUUCUUAGAAGAGAGGACGACGUGGGAGCUCGGGUUUCAACUAGGGCGAUUUCGACCUGACAGGGCUCGACAUUCUAACAUUUACUCUGCAUUGCCCAUCCAGUGAACCCUGACUAACAAAAUUGAAGGUUUCUGUUGUCAAGUGGCCACGGAAUUCAGGUGAAGGCAGACCAAUAAUUGCAUCGGCAGAGACGUUUACAGUUGACUUUUUGGGACUGCUCCUCGGAUUAGUGGUCUAUGAUAAGACCCUGUGAGUCUGGGCCUUACUAUCA